rnacentral:rRNA from 1 species
CAGCAGCCGCGGGAAUACGGAGGGUGCAAGCGUUAAUCGGAAUUACUGGGCGUAAAGCGCACGCAGGCGGUCUGACAAGUCAGAUGUGAAAUCCCCGGGCUUAACCUGGGAACUGCAUUUGAAACUGUCAGGCUGGAGUCUUGUAGAGGGGGGUGGAAUUCCAGGUGUAGCGGUGAAAUGCGUAGAGAUCUGGAGGAAUACCGGUGGCGAAGGCGGCCCCCUGGACAAAGACUGACGCUCAGGUGCGAAAGCGUGGGGAGCAAACAGGAUUAGAUACCCCUGUAGUCCCUGUCUCUUAUAA